rnacentral:rRNA from 1 species
UACGUAGGGUGCGAGCGUUAAUCGGAAUUACUGGGCGUAAAGCGUGCGCAGGCGGUUUUGUAAGCCAGAUGUGAAAGCCCCGGGCUUAACCUGGGAAUGGCAUUUGGGACUGCAAGGCUUGAGUGCGGCAGAGGAGACUGGAAUUCCGGGUGUAGCGGUGGAAUGCGUAGAGAUCCGGAAGAACACCGGUGGCGAAGGCGGUCUGCUGGGCAGUUGCUGACACUGAGGCGCGACAGCGUGGGGAGCAAACAGG